rnacentral:tRNA from 1 species
GCCCGGUUAGCUCAAUUGGAUAGAGCGUGAGACUCUUACACACAUAAUCUCAAGGUUGCGGGUUCGACCCCCGCAUUGGGCU